UACAGAGGUCUCAAGCGUUGUUCGGAUUCAUUGGGCGUAAAGGGUGCGUAGGCGGCUGUCUAAGCAGGGUGUGAAAGCCCCCGGCUCAACCGGGGAAUUGCGUUCUGAACUGGACGGCUGGAGUGGGAUAGGGGUGUGUGGAACUUCCGGUGGAGCGGUGAAAUGUGUUGAUAUCGGAAGGAACGCCGGUGGCGAAAGCGACACACUGGGUCUCAACUGACGCUGAGGCACGAAAGCCAGGGGAGCGAACGGG
rnacentral:rRNA from 1 species